rnacentral:rRNA from 2 species
AGCUCCAAUAGCGUAUAUUAAAGUUGUUGCAGUUAAAAAGCUCGUAGUUGAACCUUGGGCUUGGUUGGCCGGUCCGCCUUUUUGGCGAGUACUGGACCCAACCGAGCCUUUCCUUCUGGCUAACCUUUCGCCCUUGUGGUGUUUGGCGAACCAGGACUUUUACUUUGAAAAAAUUAGAGUGUUCAAAGCAGGCCUUUGCUCGAAUAUAUUAGCAUGGAAUAAUAGAAUAGGACGUUAUGGUUCUAUUUUGUUGGUUUCUAGGACCAUCGUAAUGAUUAAUAGGGACGGUCGGGGGCAUCAGUAUUCAGUUGUCAGAGGUGAAAUUCUUGGAUUACCUGAAGACUAACUACUGCGAAAGCAUUUGCCAAGGACGUUUUCA